rnacentral:rRNA from 1 species
CUCAAAGAUUAAGCCAUGCAAGUGGUUAUUAUAACCCGACAGUUUAAAUAAGUGUUGGUAUUCAGUAUACACACCAAACAAGUGAUACAUAUCACUUAUGCAACUGCAGACAGCUGCUUAAUACAGUCGCACUUGUCUUGACUUGGCACAACCCAUUUACACUGUGACCGUUUGUCUUCGGGCAGCACACAGAUGUAAAAUGAUACACGCACCCAAAAUGCUAAAAAACAAAAUUAACGGAUAACUCAGGGAAAGUUUGGCUAAUACGUACGAACUAUAUGAUGAAUUCUACACACACACACACCCCAUUCAUUCAUAUUCACAUUCAGUGGUUGGUUUUAUCCAUGCGCAACAUGAGAGACACUGAACACGCAGUAUGUGUACGACUUCGGUCUACGCAUACAUACGCUGAGUUGAUAUGAUACGAUUUUCUCGUAUUAUACAUGUCAUACAAGCAUCUACAGCAUCAAGUCACAGGGUUGGCAAGUGUAUUAUUGAACCUUCAAAGCAGUCACGCAUACGGAAGAGUAGUUUCUGAUCCCAUAGAAGGAGCACAGUACAAUGAGAGACGGCUCUUAGUUCUAAGGAACGCAGCAGGCGCGUAAAUUGUCCAGUGAUAGUACAAUUUAUUUUUUUACUACUGAAUUUACCACACGCAAAUUUAAUACUGUACGAAAAAAAAUAAUUUAUUGAGACAGUGACAAGCUGUAACGGUUGAGUAUAUAAAUUAUGACGAGUGUCUGACUUCUGCCGCUACUUCGGUAGCUUGGCGAGUGUCGACACUUUGUGUGCUCAAUUGGAAUGCGGUGAGUUUAAAACACUCAGAACCUGGCCAUUGGUGUUUGCGUAAUGCUUUCAUCAUUUGGGUGUAUCUGAAUUUUCAAGUGGAGGGCAAGUCUGGUGCNNNNNNCCGCGGUAAUACCAGCUCCACUGGCCUAUACAAUCAUUGUUGCGGUUAAGAGGCUCGUAGUUGGAUUGAAUAACUUUUACGACGUUGUAAGAAAAUCUUUAGAAUUUUCUACACACACACACACCCACUUUUUCAACACUGUGAACAAAUCAGAGUGUAUCAAACAUGUCUUUUUACACGCACUGAGUGUCCGAUCAUGGAAUGUUGCUUAUGUAAAUAUUUUGACAUGUACACUCACUCUAAAAUUUUUAUUUACACGUCGAUGGAGAUAGUUGGAGUCAACAGUAUUACUGGGCGAGCGGUGAAAUGCAUUGACCCUAGUACGACUACCAAAAGCGAAAGCAGUUGGCUAGGCUAUACUCUUUGUGGAUGCAUGUUUGCGUGACUAUAUGAUUUGCUAAGAUUUUACACGCACACUGACAAAAAAAGCAAAUUUCAUUGAUCGCACAUGCAAUACACUUUACAACGAAGAACGAAGGUUGGGGGAUCAAAGAGGAUCAGAUACCCUCGUCGUCCCAUUUUUACAUCAAACGAUGGGCUCUCAAUUGCACACUUUUCCGUGUGUAGUUGUUUUAUUAUAUUCCCAACCUGCAACAUUUUUAGCUGACUUGAGCUUACGCUCGUCGCUUUAAAUUCAUUGCUAACUCAGGAGUUAAUAUUUUCCGCACAUACUUUCUAUACGGUAGUUAUUAAUGCGAUGUAUUCAUGUUUUUAAUGUGUUUCUUCGUUGACUACUCUGAUUUUCGGAGCUUUGCGCUCAAUUUAUUUGGUGAGAUGUAAGCACGCGUGAUUGUAUUAUGGUACGUCGUUGCCUUCGGGUGACACUACUCAUUUUUUACAUUCACAAAUUUUGUGUGACGCACGUGUUAGGCACGGGCUUACUGCAGAAAUGUUUAAGACACUUCUUUCCUGGGGUAGUAUGCAUGCAAGUGUGAAACUUGAAGGAAUUGACGGAAGGGCACCACAAGAACGCGUGGAUCAUGUGGCUUAAUUUGACUCAACGCGGGAAAUCUUACCGGGUCCGGACACACUGAGGAUUGACAGGUUCCGAGAGUUUUUGCUUCGGCAAUGCUCUCUUAAAUAUGCUAGUCCUUUCAUGAUUAUGUGAUAGGUGGUGCAUGGCCGUUCUUAGUUCGUGGAGUGAUCUGUCUGCUUAAUUGCGUUUUACUAAAGGCGUCAUAUCUGUUUUGUGCGUGUUUGACCCCUCUUCGGAGCGCGUGUCUUCACGCACAAUUACUUUGGCGUCUGAAAGCAACGAACGUGACCGUAACCUCUUGUUGCCUUCUCUUCUCCUCGGAGAAUGCUGUUUGUUUUUGCAGGCAGUAUAUGGAGGCUUUUUUACUCAACAACUAGAGGGACCGCUGUUUCUUUCUUUAAACCAGAGGAAGGAUACGGCAAUAACAGGUCUGUGAUGCCCUUAGAUGUUCCGGGCUGCACACGUGAUACAUUGAUUACUUCAGUGAGUAUCUACGUUUUACUGCGUGGCAUUGCAAUCCAUAUUUCUUCGGAAGUGUGUUUUUGUUUUCCGCCUCAACCUGCUUCGAAAGCAUGCGGGUAACCAAUUAGAAGUAGUGAUUUCCUUUUUUAUAAGCACACUAAUAUGGGGCAUCAUCACCCGGCAUGCCUUGUUGUAUGUUUUGUGUGUGGUGUUUGCUUUUCCAUGUGCUUUUGUCAAUUCAUAGUGGGGAUAGACCAUUGUUAAUUGUUGGUCUCGGUCUUAACUAGGAAUGCCUUGUACGAGUUUAUGGUUCAACAAACCACUCGGAAUACGUCCCUGCCCUUUGUACACACCGCCCGUCGCUCUUACCGAUGGAUUAUAUUAUGAGUCGGCAGGACCGUUUAGGAAAUGUUCGCGAAUAAUGUGAUCU